rnacentral:rRNA from 1 species
ACUCCUACGGGAGGCAGCAGUGAGGAAUUUUGCGCAAUGGGCGAAAGCCUGACGCAGCAACGCCGCGUGAGUGAUGAAGGCCUUCGGGUCGUAAAGCUCUGUCAAGUGGGAAGAACCUAUAUAAUGUUAAUAUCAUUAUGUACUGACGGUACCACUGAAGGAAGCACCGGCUAACUCCGUGCCAGCAGCCGCGGUAAUACGGGGGGUGCAAGCGUUAUUCGGAAUCAUUGGGCGUAAAGAGCACGUAGGCGGCCUGGUAAGUCAGAUGUGAAAGCCCGGGGCUUAACCCCGGAAGUGCAUUUGAUACUGUCAGGCUUGAGUAUGGGAGAGGGAAGUGGAAUUCCUGGUGUAGAGGUGAAAUUCGUAGAUAUCAGGAUGAACACCGGUGGCGAAGGCGACCUCCUGGACCAAUACUGACGCUGAGGUGCGAAGGCGUGGGUAGCAAACAGGAUUAGAUACCCUGGUAGUCCACGCCGUAAACGUUGAUCACUAGGUGUAGCGGGUAUUGACCCCUGCUGUGCCGCAGUUAACGCAUUAAGUGAUCCGCCUGGGGAGUACGCUCGCAAGAUUAAAACUCAAAGGAAUUGACGG